UACGUAGGGGGCUAGCGUUAUCCGGAAUUACUGGGCGUAAAGGGUGCGUAGGUGGUUUCUUAAGUCAGAGGUGAAAGGCUACGGCUCAACCGUAGUAAGCCUUUGAAACUGAGAAACUUGAGUGCAGGAGAGGAGAGUAGAAUUCCUAGUGUAGCGGUGAAAUGCGUAGAUAUUAGGAGGAACACCAGUUGCGAAGGCGGCUCUCUGGACUGUAACUGACACUGAGGCACGAAAGCGUGGGGAGCAAACAGGAUUAGAUACCCGCGUAGUCCCUGAG
rnacentral:rRNA from 1 species